AAAGAUUUAGGAUAAAUAGACCAAGAGCCUUCAAAGCUCUAAGCAGAAGUUAAAAUCUUCUAAUCUUU
rnacentral:tRNA from 1 species